GACGAACGCUGGCGGCGUGCUUAACACAUGCAAGUCGAACGGAAAGGCCCUGCUUUUGUGGGGUGCUCGAGUGGCGAACGGGUGAGUAACACGUGAGUAACCUGCCCUUGACUUUGGGAUAACUUCAGGAAACUGGGGCUAAUACCGGAUAGGAGCUCCUGCUGCAUGGUGGGGGUUGGAAAGUUUCGGCGGUUGGGGAUGGACUCGCGGCUUAUCAGCUUGUUGGUGGGGUAGUGGCUUACCAAGGCUUUGACGGGUAGCCGGCCUGAGAGGGUGACCGGCCACAUUGGGACUGAGAGACGGCCCAGACUCCUACGGGAGGCAGCAGUGGGGAAUAUUGCACAAUGGGCGGAAGCCUGAGGCAGCAACGCCGCGUGCGGGAUGCCGGCCUUCGGGUUGUAAACCGCUGUCGCCUGUGACGAAGCGUGAGUGACGGUAAUGGGUAAAGAAGCACCGGCUAACUACGUG
rnacentral:rRNA from 1 species